GAAGAGAGAGUUCAAGAGUACGUGAAACUGCUUAGAGGUAAACGGGUGGGCCCUCGAAAUCCUGUGGUGGGAGCAUUCAGUCUGGGUGUCGUGUCGCAGGCCGGGCAUGCCUUAUGGUUCCCGUGACGGGGCCGGCUCGGCUAGCGUUGCGCGGCAAACUGACGCAUUUGUUUCCCAUCCGAAGGACGCCGCAACCGGUUGGUGGACGGUCUUAAGGGCGAGAGCUGGAAGGUGGCCGGCGGCGUGCAUUUGUGUGUCGCCGGUUGUUAGCCAUCUCGCAGGACGGCCCGUCCGCCGACCGUGGCAAUAAAGAGGCCCGGCUGGGCUUCGUCGUCUCCUCCUUGCGUGGCGAGUGGACAAGCGUCGCAGGAGUUCGUGAGCGGUGUGAUCGCACGAAGCGAGUUCGUGGCCACACGCCGCCGCGUCUCUGUUGGCUGAUGCAUGACUCGCGGGAGUGAUCGACGGUUAGCGGCGAGUAGAUCGGUCACCCACCCGACCCGUCUUGAAACACGGACCAAGGAGUCUAACAUGUGCGCGAGUCAAUGGGUCUUGAAUAAGCCCGGCGGCGCAAUGAAAGUAUAGGCCGGCGGAGGUCGGCCGCAUUCGGGAUCCCCGCUCCCUCGCGGGCGGGGCGCACCGAAGACCCGUCGCGUUCCACUCGUGGAAGUGGCGGUGUUUGAGCGCACACGUUGGGACCCGAAAGAUGGUGAACUAUGCCCGGACAGGACGAGGCCAGAGGAAACUCUGGUGGAGGUCCGUAGCGGUUCUGACGUGCAAAUCGAUCGUCAGAUCUGGGUCUAGCGGCGUAAGACUAAUCGAACCAUCUA
rnacentral:rRNA from 1 species